AUGGCUCAGGAUGAACGCUAGCGACAGGCUUAACACAUGCAAGUCGAGGGCAUCACGGGAGUAGCAAUACAACUGGUGGCGACCGGCGCACGGGUGAGUAACGCGUAUGCAACCUACCUAUCAGAGGGGAAUAACCCGGCGAAAGUCGGACUAAUACCGCAUAAAACAGGGGCACCGCAUGGUGAUAUUUGUUAAAGAAAUUCGCUGAUAGAUGGGCAUGCGUUCUAUUAGGUAGUUGGCGAGGUAACGGCUCACCAAGCCGACGAUGGAUAGGGGAACUGAGAGGUUGGUCCCCCACACUGGUACUGAGACACGGACCAGACUCCUACGGGAGGCAGCAGUGAGGAAUAUUGGUCAAUGGGCGGGAGCCUGAACCAGCCAAGUCGCGUGAAGGAAGAAGGAUCUAUGGUUCGUAAACUUCUUUUGCAGGGGAAUAAAGUGCAGGACGUGUCCUGUUUUGUAUGUACCCUGAGAAUAAGGAUCGGCUAACUCCGUGCCAGCCGCCGC
rnacentral:rRNA from 1 species